CUAUUUUAUUCAUUUCUUUAUUUUUGAGAUGGAGUCUCUCUCUGUUGCCCAGGCUGGAGUGCAGUGGCGCGAUCUUGGCUCACUGCACCCUCCACCUCCAGGGUUGAAGCAAUUCCCCUUCGUCAGCCUCCCAAGUAGCUGGGAUUACAGGUGUGCACCACCACGCCUGGCUAAUUUUUGUAUUUUUAUUACAGACGGGGUUUUGACAUGUUGGCCAGGCUGGUCUCGAACUCCCAACCUCAAGUGAUCCUCCUGCCUUGGCCUCCCCAAACUGCUGGGAUUAUAGGCAUGAGCCACUGCACCUGGCCAAAAUCUGUAUUUUAAAAUAGAGUCUAAGCCCUUUCCCAAAAGCCACCAAUCAAAGAGAUCUUGAGUCUCCUGGUCACAGAGUUUCCUUCCAUUCAGGAGUAGCUACCAAGUAAAACCAGCUGAGACAAGAAAUGCCAGAAAAUCAAUGCUACGCUCUUUCUCCAAAGGAGCCUGCAAUCAAUGACUGAUGGGUGUAAUGGAUAUAUACCCGGCUCCCACAUCCCUGGGGUGGAAUAACUCAAAGGCUGUGUUAUACACUGAUUACCAAAGUUGCCAAAUGGAAUUAAGCUCCAGUGAGGCACCUGGACUACAUACCCUUUAAGCUAACUUUCCUUCCCCAAAUUACACCCUCACUCUCCACUGGUGUUCAAUGAGCUCAACUCCCAAAUAAAGCGCUUGUUUUGAAUACAAUUCUUGUCUCAAAAUUUGUCCCUGGGGAAACCGAAACCAAAAUAAUACUUUCCAUCUGUGUCAGCAAAC
rnacentral:lncRNA from 1 species